AGUUUUGGGACAAAGAACGCAAAUAUUUGAGCUUGCUUAUUUAUGUGCUUGCUUGCUUGCUUUUCUUAAUACAUAAAGAGCAACCCUAAAGUUACCGUAGAUAGGAAAAUUGACAAAAACGGCACCGUAUUCAUCUAAGCGCUCAGAUAUGCACAGCUCAGCAAUUUUAAUUCAUUGGUGCUGGACAAACAGGAGCACCUCACCUAAUAAUUUCACUUCAUACAACGUAAAAAUAGAUCGUGGAGGAAAAAAAUGGAUUAUAUUAUUCAAGGAGGCUGCCCAGAUCUGAUUAAAAGCUCUUCUGCGUCUACAGGGACAUUUUGUCAUCCUUUCUCUCCCUGAAUUCCCAUCCCCCACGGAGCGAUUAAGCCAAGUGAGCUAAACAAUACUGGAGUAAACUUUCUAUCAGUCACUGUGGAAAGCAGUAAGUCGAUCCGGGGUCGGAUUUUUCUGGAUCCACACCGCGGUGGGGGAUGAUAAGGAGGGCGAGCCCACAUCCACUUCAGCCUCCUCCUCCAACCCCAGCCGAAGGCACUGGAAGACCGAACGCUUCCCAUGGGCAUAAAGUUCAAGAUGCCUUCACGGUGCCUCUCGGGACCGAGAAGAGAACGUCAAGAAGGGGUGCCAGGGCACGGCAGGCCUGGCAGAAGCAACCCCAAGAUACACCCCCCAGAGCCAGCCACCGCGGAGAGAUGUAAUUCUCUGUGAAAAGACUCUUACAGCUUUACCCACAGUCAAGGAUUUCUCACUCAGCUGAAGUUUUGAGAAGAGGCUCAUUCUGGGCUGGGGAGCAUGGGUGAAGUACUUUGCAAGUGUGAGGAUCCGAGUUCAGACCUUCAGGAUGCAGGAGAAGAUGGGCACGGUAGUGUGCUGUCUGGGAGGUGCUCUGCUGGUAAAGGAGUUUUCAUCAUGCCUGAUGACCCAAGUUCCAUCCCCAGAACCCACAUGACAGAAGUGACUCUUGAAAGUUGUUCUCUGACCUCUACAUGGGGGUCCUAUCUCCAUAAAAUAAAUGUAUAA